GACAGAGGUCCCAAGCGUUAGGCGGAAUCACUGGGCUUAAAGCGUGUGUAGGCGGAUUUGUAAGUACCUUGUGAAAUCCCACGGCUCAACCGUGGAACUGCUUGGUAUACUGCUUAUCUUGGGUCGUCUAGGGGCGAGCGGAACAAACGGUGGAGCGGUGAAAUGCGUAGAUAUCGUUUGGAACGCCAAUGGUGAAAACAGCUCGCUGGGGACGUACCGACGCUGAGACACGAAAGCCAGGGGAGCGAACGGG
rnacentral:rRNA from 2 species